UAGUACUGGCAUAUGGACAUUGUUGUAAUAAUCUUACUCUCAAUGUUCAUCUGUCCGUACUGCC
rnacentral:pre_miRNA from 1 species